rnacentral:lncRNA from 1 species
UGCAUGGAUGUAUUGAAAGAGAAGAGUCUUCAGAUUAAAAGAUUUAAUAAAAAAAAUAUCUAAUAAAUUUUUGUUUGAGAGAUAGAUAACAUAUUAUCUGCUUCAUUUAAAAAAAAAAAAAUAAAUUUAACUAAAAAUAUGAAUCAACAAAGAAUUGAACUUGAUACUUUAGAUACCACCAACCGUCCUUAGAGCAAGUGGCAAAGGGCUUGGUGGUUGGUAACCGGGACCUAAGUUCGAAUCCUAGUUGAUUCACAUUUCCAGCUAAUUUUAUUUCUAAAUGAAAUAAAACGAAGCGGGUAACGUGCUACCUAUCUCUCAAAAAAAAGAUACUUCAGAUACCAACUAUCAAGGCUUUUGCCACUUGCAUCAGAAACGGUCAAUUUUCAUAAAAUAUUUUUAUUACUAAAUUUUGAUAAUCG